UAAUUUUAUAUGUUCUUCCGUUUCUCUUGUAUAUUUAAAAAAAAAUUUUUUUUGUUCUAAAUUUUGAUUUACAUUCCAUGUGUAGAAUACAAAUAUUUAUCUGUUCCAUUUUCGUUUUUGACCUGAUGAUGACCUGUUAAUCAGACUGAAAACGUUUGUUUUCAAUUAUAUAUUUUACUCAGCAACAAAUUAAGGUAUUUUAUUUUUGUGUGUUUAUUUGCUCAGCACUUUUAACGUUACGAAUAUUAAUGCAUUUGCUUCACUUAAUGUGUUGGCUUUUUAUUAAUAUGUUUAAAGUUUGAUCAUCAUAUGCUUAUAUGUAAACACUUCCAAAGUCCUCUUUAUUAUUUUGACAAUAAGGCAUAAUAUAGGAGUCAGUCUUGACCAAGUUGAAAGGGAAAAAGACACAAGUCACUCGAUGCUUUAUCAGAGGGUAAAAGAGUACAACAUUUGAACUGUUCUUUUAUAUACCCACUGUUUUUUGAUUUAUAAGGAAGACAAACCGGAACCAUUUUACCCACUUGUGAGCUUAGUGUAUUUGUAAGUCCUACAACUUAUAGCUACACUAAACUCAGAAUUGAUAAAUAGUGAAUAAUGCCUUUUUACACUUUGGUCAUCAAUAUAGGGUAGGUUUGUACAGUUAAACGCAUUACUAAUGAGUCAGUCAUAAAAUACAAAUUUUACCUAGCUCAACAUUGAUGACAUUUCAAAUGAAACUCUAAUGAAAUUCACGAAGGAAAGAGUUAGUUUAUAUCGUGAAGAAAAUGGCAUCCGGUGAUAGCGAUGUUUCUAAAUCUACUCAAAUGUUUAAAUUGUGGAUUAAAAAAUCAAAUGAUAAAAAUAACUCACUAGAAGCAAUCUAAGAAAAAUACUUUGGAUAAGACUGCACUAGCAACAUACGUCACUUUGGUUUUCAAAAUGGCAAUUUUGUCAUAAAAAGAUCAGUCAAAACAUCUAACAAGUAAGAGAAAAAUCAUAGUUAUUCUCAUUUAACUCGUUCAACUUUACAAACACACCCAUAGCCUUAAUUAUAGUUUGGAAGUGAGGAGGUUCCAGGUGUCAUAAGUGAUAACAUUUCUAUGACAUAUACAAAAGAUGCAGGUUGAAAUAUCACUUUGGUUAUAACAAACCAGAUGAUUGCAACAUUAGAUUGGGCUGUGGUAUUGUAGGUUGGCUGGUUCGAGUUUUUGGCACAAGAGCCAUAUAGGCCAUGCUGUGCCAUCACAAGUGUAGUAUCGUAACUUUCAAUAAUUAAAUGCCGAGUAAUUUGGCCUAGAAGUAGACCACGUCUUAUCAAAUUUAAUAAUUAAAAUGAAAUUAAUUUAGAAAGUUAAUAGUAGCAGUAAUAUAAUCCAAUCUAAUCUGGAAAUUGUUUGGCUUUAUUACUGGGAAUUACAAAUGUUUAUAUUUGUAUAUCUACAAACUUAAAUAUUUUAAUUUAAUUUACAUUUAAAUAUUUUAAUUUGACGUAAAUUAAGUAUUUUAUUAAUCUAAGUUUAACACAAGACUGAAGCCCGAUAACAUGCCUUUUAGCUAAAUUAUUUUGAUUAAUUAUUAAUUAGCCAUAUGCUAGCUUAAGAGUGAACUAAUGAUUUAUAUGUGAGUUUAUAACAAUACAGUGACAAAAAUAUAAAAAUAAAAUAUGGUAAUCAGAAUCAAAUACAGUCCUCUUGCACGAAAGUCAUUUCGUGUGUGUCUGAAUGUACCGAUAUGUACUGCUAGAAAGGUAUUGAAUGCGUGUCUAAAUUAUAACAAUUUGGGAGAAUUAUUAAAAAAGAAUAAGACGAAUUUUGCUUUUAAUUUUACUUAAACUCUCUUUUCUUUACAGUUGUAUCCCCGAACGAGGCCGUACUUUCGAGAGUUUUAUCCUAAUUCAAGUGAAACAUUUUGUUUUUGAGGCAUUGGUUCUUGUUGUUUUUCAAGCUCCUGGAUUAUAUCGUAAACUAACUGGUUAAGUUGCCAGAUCUGGUAUGGUUUAUAAAGUACAUCUGGUUGUAUCUGAUGAAAAGUGAUAUUAGGAUGGCUAGGAACCUCCAAUUAGAACUGUAAGACCAUUUUUAGUCUCUGACUAAAAAUGGUCCUACAUAUUGAUGGCUGUCAAUGGAAUCCAUGAUCAGUUUAUUGGUAUCAUACAAUCUGUGGUACCAUAAGAGUUUUUCGAUAGUGACACUUCCUGAUCGGAGAAUACGAUUCAAAGUAUGAACUGUUUCGACAUGAGAGAGAUUUAUCAAUAAAGUGGUUAUAUUCCGAGGAUUACUGGAACUGUUAGUCAAAGCUUGGUGAGAAUUAUGUUUUAAAUGCUGCUAAGGAAUGAGUGCAGUUUAUUCAAGGAUUAUCAGAAAGAUAAUAAGUACAAAUCUUGCAAACCUGCUGUAGUCGUGACAGAUUUAUUGUCAGCAUCAAAUGGAUCUCAGGAAAUUUUUUUAAAAAGGUAAGUUACAUUCUCAUGAUUCAUCUUUCUGAUAACCUACGUUUACUCUAUUUUUAUUCCAUGAUCUCCAUACCUAAAUAAACUAGAAGUGAAUUUUGUGUCAUUUUUUUAGGAACUACUGCUCAAGAGAAAAAAAAGAUAUAGACAGUAGCAAUGAUUUUUUUAUGAUCUGGCCCUUUCCUAAAAAAGUUUGCUGACACCUGCCUUAUUAUGGUGAUAGUGAAUUAACAAUGCUCACAGUACAAUUUACAUUGGGGGAAAUCCUCUCAACUGCUGAAAUAAGCUGCAACUUCUAAAAUGAUCCUCUAAAAUAGGGUGAUCAGACGUUCUGAUUUCUGGGAACUGUCCUUGGUUUUGUCUCUUUUUAAUAUUUAAUUCUAGAAUCAAUUUUUAAAUAUAGCAAUUUAGGGGUGUGUCACGACUGCAGAAGCUGCUGGUGCAUUUUCCUUCAGACCUUAACAAUGUGAAGGAAGUUUUUGUAUUGAAGUUUUUCAAAUGUUUUUUAUUGGGAAAACAUGAUAGUAUUAAAAUUAAUUUGAUAAUUACUUAUUUCUGGACUGAAAUCUAACCCUUACAAAGAUCCCUGAUAGAACUCAGAUGACCCUAUUGAGUCAAAGUAAGUCAAGCAACAGAAAAAUCAACUUCACAACCUUAACAACACAAAAGAAAACAUACAAAACAUGGAAUUACAAAUGGAAAAGGAACUUGUGCACUUCAAAAUAAAAUUACAUUAAUUUGAUUGGAUUCUGUAAUUAAUAUCCUAACAAGAUAUAUGGAAUUUUAUGAAACACACUGAAUCUAGAUUCAGUACUUUUAGAAGAUAUCCUAGACAUAACUCAAUUAACUAAUACAAUAAAAUAUGCAAAUUUCAGCCAAUUUCUUAGAGUUUGUCAUUCGAUGAAAGAAGUGAAUAAAGAUUAUUCCUUGAUGAUAAUUUUAUAACGAAAUUCCCAAAGGGUUCUCGUACCUGACGAAAUAAUCUUUUUCCUCUCAACAUAGGAAUAAAAAAACAAAAUUGUCAGCUUAAACUUCCUAAUAUAUUUUUUUAUCUUGACCUAAUAUCAAACCAAUUAGGAAAUGUGGUAAAUUUUUUAUCAAUUCCAUCAAUACAGAAUUUUACAACUUUUAAAGUCCAAUAAAUAUCGUGAAUAAUCAAAUGUUAGCAGUGAUAAACUGAAAUUUCCAGGGAUUAAAGAAUAAAAUUUCAUCAAAUGACCUAUUUCAGCUUAAACUUGAAGUAGAUAUUAUUGAAUAGCAGAAACAUAGAUUAAAUACAUUCAAAGACUACUUAAUUGAAAAUGUUCCUGCUAGAACAUCAACUGUACCAGACCAGCCUAGUGGAGAAAUAUGAUUAUUAUUAAAAAUUCUUCAAAUAAAAAAUACUCAAAUGAUUAAACCUAAUUUUACUAAUUUAAGAAAUGAAUUAAUGAUUGUGGCUGUUGCCUAUAUUCUACCAAAUAAGACAGACAUACUAAAAGAAUUUUUUAAAUCACUUGAACUUUGGCAACAUAUUACACCAUUAAUUCUGCUUUUGGGAGAUUUUAAUUCUCAUAUUGCUGAAAUAAACAACGAAAGACUCUCGGUACUAUGGUCCAAUAACUUAAUUUUAAAUACUCAACUUUCAAAGGAUAAAUAUAGCAAUAAAUUAGGUGCAAGUACGAUAAAUAUAUUAAUAGAUUUAAAAAUAUACACAUGCAGUGGUUGUAUAAUAUCCGACCACCCUGCUAAAUUUACUUGUGUAGAGUAUAAAGGAAGUUCUACAAUUGAUUUUACUCUUUUUUCUGAUUUUUUUUUGGAUUUAUGUGCAGACUUCAAAAUAUUAAAUUAUGAUGCAUCAGACCAUUUUCCCUCCAUUGCUAAAUUUUUCACAAAACAAAAAACAAAGAUAGACAAAUUCAAUAAUUAUCUAAAAAAAUUUAUAAUUUAUCAAGAUAUCAAGAAGAGAGCGAAAAUAAAUUUAAUUGUAUUCCUGACAUUACUGAAAUUCUAUUGAAACUUACAGGUUCAUUGAACAAUUAAUGAAAGAAUAUACAUUAGAUCCACCUAUAAAAUGGGUUCAUAUAGUUCGGAUUCCUAUAUGAC